UACGAAGGGGGCUAGCGUUGUUCGGAAUUACUGGGCGUAAAGCGCGCGCAGGCGGCUAUCCAAGUCAGUGGUGAAAGCCCGGAGCUCAACUCCGGAACUGCCAUUGAAACUGUUUAGCUUGAGUAUGAGAGAGGUGAGUGGAAUUCCCAGUGUAGAGGUGAAAUUCGUAGAUAUCGGGAGGAACACCUGUGGCGAAAGCGGCUCACUGGACCACAACUGACGCUGAGGCGCGAAAGCUAGGGGAGCAAACAGG
rnacentral:rRNA from 1 species